rnacentral:ncRNA from 1 species
AAUAAACUUUUGACUGAAAAUAGUAACUAUUCGAAAGAUGCUUCAGUGAGUUGCAGAGAGUGUGAAUGCAACAGUAAUCGCAAUAGUGAAUGGAUUCAUGAGGGUGAAAAGAAAAGCUUGUUAAGCUGAGUAAUGUUCAACGGGGGUUCUGUCCGUUAUCAAAGGAAAGCGUAUGUUUGUACGUUUAAAGUGGAUGUAACAGCUAUUUAUGGGCUUGACGACAUCAAUUUAGGUGGUACCGCAGAGAUUUUUACUUCUGUCCUAUUU